AGACCACGCCACGCUGCAUCACAUGGAAAGUCCUGCAGACAUGACUGCGUUUCCCAUCCACAGUGUUAUACAGGAUGACAGCAGGAGCUACACCUGACGUUAUGGCAGCACAUCACAAGCCUUCAUCUGGUCAGAUCCCAGUGACCCUGCGGAGCUGGUGGUGAGAGGUGGAAACAACCUCACUGGGCUUGAAACAUCACCAUAUCCAAUCAGCCCAGGGACCACACGGACAGCCCUCAGGAGGCCCCUGGAUUUCACCUGGGGCAACAUCCUCCGUCUGGGUCUGGUCUCCGGGGUUCUGCUGGCCCUGGUGCUGAUCAUGGCCGAGGCUGGUUACUGCUGGAAGGAGACUCCAGGGGAGCCUGGAUCCAGCCAUGCAGAGAUGAAGAUCUCCUUAGGGGAAGAGCCCUAUCUGCUUGGAGGGCUCCACAGGGCAGAAAAGCCACUCUCCCUUCCUCCAGGAAAUCCCUGCUUCAGGGAAUCUCACAUUUAUUCCAUGGUGCUCCCAACUCAACAGCUGGACCCUUGGGAGCAAACUCUCGACCCCCAGCACCGAGCACACCAGCCCCUGUGUCACCAGCUAAGGGAGCACCUGCCAGGGCCCCAGGGGAUGGGGAAGCAGGGCCGUAGCAGAGCCCCGUGCAGGGAAGGUGCUGCCUAUGUCUGUGGGAAGCCCAGGGUGGGGUGUGGGGGGCUGGGCGCUGUAUAGGGCCCCCUCAAUAAAUAACCCCUUCCCUGCCAGAUUCCCUGCUCCUCCUGCUCCCUGCUGGGGAUAUGACCUGAGAAGAUGAGGGAAGGCCGUUAGUGCUUCCUUAGCCAGAGCAUUUGCUUCCCGACCUCAGGGGAUGAGCCGGAUCCCUGAGUAUGCCCCGGAGCCAAUGUCAGACUAGGGGGGUGGAGCAGAGCGAGAUUCCCUGAUCAUAAGAAUGGCCAUACUGGGUCUGUUCAGCCCAGUGUCCUGUCUGCUGGGGGGAGCAUGGGGCAGGGGAUCUGGGUGCAGGGAGAAGGGGACAGGAGACACC